rnacentral:lncRNA from 12 species
AUGCCCGGACUGUUUGCAAUUCUUUCUUUUCAAUUAGAAGCACAAAAAUGUCAGCUGGACACCACCCCAUGGCAACUACCCCAUAACAAGUUACGUUUUUUUUCCGUGGAGCAUUCCAGAGACCGCCCAGCUCAGCUGGACCUGCAAGCCCUCAGUCACCGAGGGGCAGAGCUGGGCUUGACCCAUGGUCAUCUUCUGGCUCUCAGAUUCUGCAUUAUCACCAUCCUUGCUCUUCCAUUUCGGGUUUCUCCUUUCCUCUGUGCCAGUCUUUUCUCUCCAGCCAAGGGGUGCGAGCUCAGAAGGGGCAGGGACGAUGUCCCUCUCUUGUCCCUUCCUCAUUGCCAGCACGGGGCUGGAAGUUGGCAGAGACUCACUGCUGACAAGAGGCUUUGUGGAAAUUCUAAGACACUCCAGUAAUUAAUAAUGAUGUCAACAGCCCAUCCAACUUGCUCUGAAAUAUAGUGUCUAGGAAUAUCGCACUGGCCCUUCAUCCAAAGUCUAAUUGUCUGAAAGAACUGCAUCCAAGAUGCUGUGAUUCCAUGAGAUGAAACACAACAAGUGCGAGGCUGCUCGGGAAGCAAGUGUUCAAGGUAGGUUUGGUGCUGGUGGUGGUGGGGUGCCAGCGAGAUGGACCAUGCAGCGGGCUCGCACUUGACUUCAUCUGUAUUUCCAUAGGGCUUUAAGGACCAAGUCACAGUAAUGAUGUCAACCUCGAACAAUUUCUUGAGCGCUUACUGUCAGCCACUUGUCUAAGCAUUCCCUGCGAGUCA